UAAAUUAACAAAUCUGUAUUACAAGUGGUGAAAUGACUUGAAAAAUUCUAUGAUCUACAGAGUGAUUGCAGAUGUCUCAGAAGAGGCGAUUUGAACACAGACAUCACGAACAUGAAGAAGUGAGAACCAUGAAGGUAAUUUAGCAAAAUGAAAGAAGAAUUGCCAUUUGGCUAAUGGACAAAAGUAAUCCCUGACCUGUUGAGGUAUGGGAAACGGAGGCAGAGAAACUGAGAAAGGGUACACUGUGCCGAGCUGAUGACACUGUUUAUGACUGUGGGUCACCAGCUUCCUAAGAUCUGCUCCUCUGCACCUCCCUAAAGGCGAAGAGAAUCAGUAUCUCUCUCACUCAAAUGCAUCAGCUCCACAGCAAAGUGCCUUGUAUCUCUCUUGGGAAAUACCCUGCCUUUGGGAAAGAAAGGAGAACAGGAAUUGAUGAAGAAAAGGGAGAAAAGGGGACAAAAAGAAGACAAAAGCAGAACAGAAGCAGAAAAGCGUGGUAUUCUAAGUGAAGGAAGAAGCUUUUUAAAGAGGGAGUGAACCAAGAAGACUUGACAGCUGUUGAGAAUUCCAAUUGUGUGGGAGCUAAGGAGAGGGCACUGGUUAGGGCAAGUCCUCCCUGGUUUUGUGUUAGAGGCAGUUUGAGUAGCAGAGGGGCAUAGAAGGCAGAUUAGGCAGUGACAGGGAGGUAUGAAAGUGGUAUGUGUGGUUUGCUGCACUUAGACAAAGCUUGUGGGGGAAGGUAGAAAAGCAAUGGGCUGGAAUGGGUGGAAGGACACUUUGGGGAUUUGAAGACCUGCCUGAGUGUGUGCUAGGUACAGAUUGAAGGGAAGAUAUAAGAGGAGAGAAUGGAACUGAAAACAUAAAAGACAAAAUGAAAUAAUUGGCAAAGCAAAAUUCAGGCAACCAGGAAAGAACAGGAUCAAAUGUAUGUAGACAGAUUAAACUUGGUUAAGAAUAUACUUUUCUUAGAAUAGACAGAAAGGAGGAACAUUGAUAAAAGGUAGAGGGAGAUUUUGAAGGGUGCUGAAGACCCUAGAGAGUAUUCUCCCUCAAUAGCUUUUGUUUUCUCUGUAAAAUAUGAUGUGAGAAGGAUGGUAAUCAUUCAGCAAUUCCUACUGGGGAAAAGGACAGACGACAAGGUGGAGUGAGAGCGCGGUCAGAUGACUCUAUCAAUCAUGUGCUCAACACUGUGCUAGGUGCUGUAGGGGAUAUAAAAUAUGUAUGAUGUGAUUCCUGCCCUCAAAGGGAAACACACAC